rnacentral:rRNA from 1 species
UGGUGGAGUGAUUUGUCUGGUUAAUUCCGUUAACGAACGAGACCGCAGCCUGCUAAAUAGCGUGCCGAACCCUUUGUUGGGCGUCGCUUCUUAGAGGGACAACUUGUCUUCAACAAGUGGAAGUUCGCGGCAAUAACA